GACGAACGCUGGCGGCGUGCUUAACACAUGCCAGUCGAACGGAAAGGCCCUGCUUUUGUGGGGUGCUCGAGUGGCGAACGGGUGAGUAACACGUGAGUAACCUGCCCUUGACUUUGGGAUAACUUCAGGAAACUGGGGCUAAUACCGGAUAGGAGCUCCUGCUGCAUGGUGGGGGUUGGAAAGUUUCGGCGGUUGGGGAUGGGCUCGCGGCUUAUCAGCUUGUUGGUGGGGUAGUGGCUUACCAAGGCUUUGACGAGUAGCCGGCCUGAGGGGGUGACCGGCCAAAGUGGGCUGGGGAAGGGACCAGACCCCAAAGGGGGGGAAGAGGGGGGGAAUUUGCAAAAGGGGGGGAAAGCCGUGUCGAGAAACGCCGGGGGGGGAAUGCGGGCUUUGGGGUUGAAACCCCUUUUGCCGGGGGAAGAGGUGGGGUGACGGGAAAUGGGGAAAAAGCCCCGGCUAACUACGUG
rnacentral:rRNA from 1 species